CAGGCCUAGGUUAGACAGACAGCUCCAUUUCAGACAAAUGCCAGGAGGGACGAGGCCCCGACCACCAGAAACAUUGUCGCCGCGACAGUGGACUGGCAUUUCGGAAGAGCUUGGUAUUCUCACUUCUGUCCAAUGAUUCAGAUCUGGGAUGGUUCCACUCUCUAUUUGCUGAACAUGUUGCAGUUACCUGACUCCAGACAAAGCACUUCCACUGGUCAUGGAAAAAAGGUCUAAAUCCGUGUCUUCUCUGCUUACAAGUCUUGCCUGGGAGCAAUGGGAGAGAAUGUAUACAAUCAUGAAACAAAAUAUGGCAUUUUCUGAAUGCAGCUCACAUUACCCCAAAUAAACAAACAGGCUCUGUCAAACAACCUUCUUCAAAAUGAUACCACAAUCCUUUAUUGCUGCCCAGGCAGAACAAAUGCACUAUGUCAAAGCAUUUUUUGCAAAUAAGAGCCGAUUUUAAAAUUGAGGUUUGCUAUUUGAGUCUGUACAACAAAAGAAAACAUUUUGGUACAGUAAUUUUGAUGAAAAUCAAUCUUAAAGGCAACUGAUGAACUUUAAACAGCUUAACAUCACUUAUUUUACCAAGUAUAUUAUUUAAUUCUUAAUUGAAUGUUAUAAAUGUCACAAUGGAUUAUUUUUGCAAUAUUUAUAUUUUACCACUUAUAAGUAUUAGUCUUCUCAAUAAAAUCCCUGAAAUGCCUUUCAUCCCAUAUUUAUGUUUCACAAAUCACAAUAGAUCCUUACUUUCUCAUUACAACCAUCAUUCAAUAAAGAUAUUACACAUUCAGUCUCACUGGGGAGUAAUUUUUUCAUGUUUGAUGUGAGAAAAUUGAAAUACAGCAAAAUAAAGCCAUAAAAUAUUCACUGUGGUUUAAAAAAUUUUAUACAGAUGAUGAGCUAUAAAAACACAUGAAACCAGAAUCUAAAUCAUUUUCUUUCAUAUUCUGAUCUUGCUUCUUCUUCUUUACAUGCUCCUUUCCACUUUCUUCCCACCCACACACGCACUAGCUUAUCAUUAUUAAUUAAGUAAACAAGUUUGCUAUGCUGAAAUCAGAAUGGGAACUAUUCCAUAAUGUCAGUCACUUUUUGAUGUACCUGGUAAGUGAUAUAAUUUCACUGUCAAAAAACUUCAAUAGAAAACUAUUCAGAAUAAAUAACAGUUGACUUCUAACUAAUAGUAAAAAUGUUAUAUAUUCUUUCUGAAUUUUAUGUACAACUAGUACAUAGGGGUACGUAUCUAAUUGUUCGUUAUUAUAGAGCAGAUCCAUCAAUAUUAAGACUUAAAAGCCUCCCUGGUGGUGCAAGGGGUUAAGCACAGCACUAUAAAGCAAUCCACAACCUCAGCAGCAGGAGUUCGAUCUCCAGCUGGCCAGGGAGCAACCCACAUGGCGCAGCAGACCUCUCCUUUCUUGCCUGCUGCUCCCCUCAGCAGUGUAUUUCAGUUAGUCUCCUGUUCUGUUCCCCACUCUGUUUCUGGUGAAUCCUUUCACACCCCCACACCUCUGGCCUGUAUCCCAGUUCCUGUAUGCAUAAAUAAACAAAUCUUUAAAAAAAAAACUAAGACUUAAUAAAAAAACACAAUUGUUAAGAAGUUAAAUUAAGGUAGAAAUACCAAAGUAAUACCACAGUUUUGGUGAGAUCAAGUAGAAAACAAGGAAGACUAUAUUAACCACUAGGGGAACUUCCUGUUGACUAAUGAGGCUUUACUGAAAACUUCAAAUUUUUUAAAAUCAGGUUUUAUUUGUUUCAAUUUAAUGAUGUAAUUUCUCUAUAUCUAUUUACAAAAUAGAAAUCCCACUGUCCUGUAAGUAAGAUGACACCUAUAUGUCAAAAAAAAUGAUUAUGAACACAUACCAUCCUCAAAUUCUGUCAUGUAAGCCAUUAAUAGCCAAAAGAUUAUUCCUUGCAACAUGGAAAACAAUGUCAGCUACUAAUUAAGUCAGAUUAUAGCAAUCAAUUUAUAAGUGUAUUUAUCAAAAGCACAUGAUUUCACAUUGGUGAUACCUAGUAGCAUAAAAGCAAAGUUAGAAAUUUCAUAAAAUGACUAGUUAUAGUCUCAUUAGUGCACAUAUGUCAUAACGACAUAUACACUAAAUUCAGGUUUUUAUGUUGAAUAUCAUUCUUCCUCUUACUAUUAACAGAUAAAUC